rnacentral:rRNA from 1 species
UACGGAGGGGGCUAGCGUUGUUCGGAUUUACUGGGCGUAAAGCGCACGUAGGCGGCUUGUUAAGUCGGGGGUGAAAUCCUGGAGCUCAACUUCAGAAUUGCCUUCGAUACUGGCUGUCUAGAGGCUGGAAGAGGUUAGUGGAAUUCCCAGUGUAGAGGUGAAAUUCGUAGAUAUUCGGAAGAACACCAGUGGCGAAGGCGACUCACUGGACAUGUAUUGACGCUGAGGUACGAAAGCGUGGGGAGCAAACAGG